AUGGUAAACCAUGAUUAUUAAUAGGUUUAAUAUUUUAAAUGGUGGAAAGCACAUGAUGCUUGCAGAGUCUGGGUUCAGAGCAGAUGGAGCACAGGAAUGUCCAGGGAACUGCGGGGUCAAGUCAUGUUGACCUCAGCCUUUCAGCCUUGGGUCAUCUUGGCUAACGAGGUCAAUCCAUGCGGACCUCAGGCCAGGGCGCGGUUGAUAGCAUGCUGAGACGAAGAUUGACUGGGCGGAAACCCCAUUGGGACUCCAUUGUAACAAAGAAAUUCCUGUAUGUGUAUAAAGUGAAGCUGGAGUCGAUGUUCGAGCAGUGACUCUAUAGACCUACUCAGGCUGUUGUCGUUGUUGUUUUUCUUCACGAUGAAGUCUUUUUUCAAUUCUUGCUCCGGACCCCUCGAUUUAUUUUACACUCUCUCUUAAAUUAGUCUAAGUGUUUUAAAUCUCGAUUAAUCUUCGACAAAGGAUCUCCAGGGUACCAUACUGCACAGGGACGUGCGGCGCCUCAUCAUCCUCAUCCCAGCAGAGGAUCAAGUCGGCGGGCACCAGCUCGCCUGAGAAGUGCGAUCUUUCCGGGUCGCACGACGCAAAGAUCGAGUGGGAGGUGUUGCGGCGAUCUACGGGGAAGUCUGCCUGCGAGUGGGUGCAUCUGAUGGCCUUACUGCGCAUGCGUGCAACAGCGGCGAUCUACCGCGGAAGUCUGCCCGCGAGUGGGUGCACGUCAUGGCCUUACCGCGCAUGCGCACAUCAGCGAGCGAACAGCAGCGCGUGCCAGAGACAAGAGAAGAGACGUGUGCUUGUUCAUUUGUUUGCAACGCGGCAGCAGAAGGAAGAGCUCUCGGACAAGCACAGAGUUAAAACCCAUGGGAAGAGGGAAAAAGAUCAAAGAGGCUACCGGUAAGCUCAGGUCUCUUUACUGGACUGAGUUGUGCUAAUUUAAAUGCUUGACAGGUUUAAUUUAAAAGUAGAAAUGGC
ensembl:lncRNA